AAAUGGCGCGUGCCGCGGGGGAUAGCAGGGCAGCGGGGGCGGGGCCUCGUGACGUCACAGGGUGAUGGCCAGCCUCCCGACGUUCGGGACGUGACGGCCUCGGCUCGGCGCCCCGCCUUCUCUCCGGGUGCGCGCGGGCGUUGUCCUGGGGACGCGAAAGGGGAGCCGGAAGAGCGCCGGGGCGGAGGAGGAAGGGGAGGCUGCAGCCGCAGCCCAGCCCCAAACGCUGGGUUGGAACUUAAGGACUGUUCGUUUUAAUUGUCUUAAUUUCCCGGCCGGGAGGCCAGCAUGGUAUUUGUAAGUUGAAGAGCCUUUGAAAAGGCAAACACAGAAUUGUAUAAUACAUAUUAGCGCACACCGUAAAGAUUGCAUGGAAUUUAAACUGACUGAACUGUAAAGAACAAAAAAGACGUUUCAGGUUUUAACUCGGUUUGGCCACCUCCCCGGCCCUCACGUGCCGGGGACUGGAGGUUGCAGUGAUGAAAACAGAAGACAAUGAACAUCGCUAUGCACCCACACGCCCGGCCGCGAACGUUCUGACGAGAGCCAGCCGGUUUUUGGAAGGGCCGAGGUGACCCGAAUUCAGGAACAGGGAGACCCGGGCAUGAUGGCGUCCCGCCCCACCAUGAGACCUCCCGGGGCUGUCUUUGUCCUGGCUGCUUCCUGCAGCUGGGCCUGCCUCGGGGCUGCAGCGAGGCUGGCGGUCAGCAGUGUCCCUGCCGCUGGCCAAAGCAGACCUCACUGUGUCUGCUGAGAAGCAGCCCUUCCUGCGCCCAAGGUCUAGGCCUCCGGGAGGCAGCUAACCAUUCACACAGCAGAGCUGAUAAACGUGUCAGUGACUGCCAGAAGCCAAGUUGGUACCCGUAUACAGAUGACAUAUUUGCAUUUUAAUUGUCUCUUCUGUGGACUGUAAACCUAGUUCCAAAGGAGGACAACUAAGGCUGGGAAUUUCAAAUAUGCAGCAGAUGCAGGUGGGAGAGGAGUUGCAUAGCCAACCUCUUUUGAGAGCUCUCAAGUGACAGCACCUAGGCAUGGCUACUUCAUCUUUUUCUUUGCAUAAGGAUAAUUCUUCCAAUGGCAUUGAGUUUAAUUCGUCUUCAAAGUACAAAACGUACAUAACCAACCUGCAGUACGCUAUUCUGAAUGAUAAAGUGUUUGGAAGUGCAAACCCAAAGAAGAUAAUGCAUUUACCCAACUAUCAUAAAAUCAAUGAAAUACAAUCAGCCAGGAUCCAGUUGAAGCCUCAGAACCCACAGGAGCAGAAGGAGCAGAAUGCACUAGGAGUCUCUGUAAAGCUGUUGUGAUCACACCUAAUCCUGGAGCUUGAAGACUUCAGCAAAGACAGCCUGGAAGGGAAGAUAGAUAUAAAGUAGGGAAAAGCAAGUACAACCUGGAACCUACAAGCUUGAGCUAAAACCCCAGGAGGACAGACUGAAACCAUGUCACUUCUCACUGCCUCUAACCUUGAUGGUAUAGAUAGCCUGUGGGAGAAGCUGUCCCCUUCAUUAUAUAUCUAACCCAGGAGCUGAAAAAGCUGGAGAAUGAUUCAGGGGAAGGUGGAGCAGUUGUAGGUCCAGCCACUGUCCCAUGCCAUCAAGAUAAGCCAGCAGAUAAGCAAUAAUGUUA